AUUGAACGCUGGCGGCACGCUUUACACAUGCAAGUCGAACAGUAACAGGGUGCUUGCACCGCUGACGAGUGGCGAACGGGUGAGUAAUGCGUCGGAACGUGCCGAGUAGUGGGGGAUAACGCAGCGAAAGUUGUGCUAAUACCGCAUACGUACUGGGGUAGAAAGUGGGGGACCUUCGGGCCUCACGCUAUUCGAGCGGCCGACGUCUGAUUAGCUAGUAGGUGAGGUAAAGGCUCACCUAGGCGACGAUCAGUAGCGGGUCUGAGAGGAUGAUCCGCCACCCUGGGACUGAGACACGGCCCAGACUCCUACGGGAGGCAGCAGUGGGGAAUUUUGGACAAUGGGCGAAAGCCUGAUCCAGCCAUGCCGCGUGUCUGAAGAAGGCCUUCGGGUUGUAAAGGACUUUUGUCAGGGAGGAAAUCCCUAGUGCUAAUAACACUGGGGGAUGACAGUACCUGAAGAAUAAGCACCGGCUAACUACGUGCCAGCAGCCGCCGCAG
rnacentral:rRNA from 1 species